UACGGGGGGAGCAAGCGUUGUUCGGAUUUACUGGGCGUAAAGGGCGCGUAGGCGGCCACCGCAAGUCGGUUGUGAAAUCUCCGGGCUUAACCCGGAACGGUCAAUCGAUACUGCGGGGCUAGAGUGCAGAAGGGGCAACUGGAAUUCUCGGUGUAGCGGUGAAAUGCGUAGAUAUCGAGAGGAACACCGGUGGCGAAGGCGGGUCUCUGGGCCGAUACUGACGCUGAGGAGCGAAAGCGUGGGGAGCGAACAGG
rnacentral:rRNA from 1 species